GACGAACGCUGGCGGCGUGCCUAAUACAUGCAAGUAGAACGCUGAAGCGAGGAGCUUGCUCUUCUUGGGUGAGUCGCAAACGGGUGAGUAACGCGUAGGUAACCUGCCUGGUAUCGGGGUAUAACUAGGGGAAACGAUAUCUAAUACCGCAGAAAAUCGAGUAGCGCAUGAUGAGCCAGUGAAAGGUGCAAAUGGGUGACGACCACGUGGCCCAUCGGUGUAUUAGCUAGGUGGUGGGGUACCGGCUCACCAAGGGGAGGAUACAUAGCCGACGUGAGAGGGUGAGCGGCCAGACUGGGGAGGAGACACGGCCCAGAUUGCUACGGGAGGCAGCAGUAGGGAAUACUCGGCAAUGGACGGAAGUCUGACCGAGCAACGCCGCGUGAGUGAAGAAGGUUUUCGGCUCGUAAAGCUCUGUUGUUAGAGAAGAACGAGUGUGAGAGUGGAAAGUUCACACUGUGACGGUAUCUUACCAGAGAGGGACGGCUAACUACGUG
rnacentral:rRNA from 1 species